rnacentral:rRNA from 1 species
UGGGGAAUAUUGGACAAUGGGCGCAAGCCUGAUCCAGCCAUGCCGCGUGAGUGACGAAGGCCUUAGGGUUGUAAAGCUCUUUUUGGCGGGGAAGAUAAUGACGGUACCCGCAGAAUAAGCUCCGGCUAACUUCGUGCCAGCAGCCGCGGUAAUACGAAGGGAGCUAGCGUUGUUCGGAAUCACUGGGCGUAAAGCGCACGUAGGUGGGCAGUUAAGUCAGGGGUGAAAGCCCGAGGCUCAACCUCGGAAUUGCCUCUGAUACUGGCUGUCUAGAGUUCGAGAGAGGUGAGUGGAAUUCCUAGUGUAGAGGUGAAAUUCGUAGAUAUUAGGAAGAACACCGGUGGCGAAGGCGGCUCACUGGCUCGAUACUGACACUGAGGUGCGAAAGCGUGGGGAGCAAACAGGAUUAGAUACCCUUGUAGUCCCUGAGCGGGCUGGCAAGGCGCAU